rnacentral:rRNA from 1 species
UACGGGGGGGGCAAGCGUUGUUCGGAAUUACUGGGCGUAAAGCGCGCGUAGGCGGCUUGUUAAGUCGGAUGUGAAAUCCCUGGGCUCAACCUAGGCAUUGCAUUCGAUACUGGCAAGCUAGAGUAGGGCAGAGGGUGGUGGAAUUUCCUGUGUAGCGGUGAAAUGCGUAGAUAUAGGAAGGAACACCAGUGGCGAAGGCGACCACCUGGGCUCAUACUGACACUGAGGUGCGAAAGCGUGGGGAGCAAACAGG